AAAUCUAAAAUCCCUUAUAUUAAAAAAAGGACCAUAGCUAAGCUAUGUAUCCGCUCUUAGAAGUUUGUAUCUCGUGUAGUAGUAGUAGACGUAAAUGUUUAACUAGCUUCUUAUUGAUGACACGUAGUCGUAACUGAAAGGUUGAUCGAUCACAAUGUGGCCUGAACAAAGCCCAUGACGAAUGUAACAGCAGUGAGGAAUCUUGGUCAAUAGCCGCAAGGCUGAACCAGCAACUUGGAGGAAUGAAUGGCAAUAGCCAAUGCAUUAAUAUGAUGCAAUAUCGAAGUCGAAUAAAAUUCUGGGUAGACUAUGAUAAUGACAUUAUCUAUCUAGAUGUCUUGACCAAACUACGUGCCAGCAGUCGCGGUAAUACGUUAAAGACGAGUGUUAUUCAUGUUUAAUCGGUUUAAAGAGUCCCAAGACUGUUAAUAAAGCCUAACGGGACACAUUAACUAGAGUUAUAUGAAAGGGGGCUGAGAGGUACUGUCGGGUGGAGAGAUAAAAUUCAUUUAUACAGAUGAUGGCACCAACGAAUGCGAAGGCAUCCCCUUAUGUAAUAACUGACGUUUUCAGACGAAGGCUUAGAGAAGAAAAAUGGAUUAGAUACCCUCGUAUUCUAAGCAGAAAAUGAUGAAUGUCAUAGGUUGAAGAUAAAUAAUAUUUAUUUUGGUCUAUAAAUGAAAGUGUAAGCAUUCCACCUCAAGAGUAAUUUGGCAACAUUGGAACUGAAAUCAUUAGGCCGUUUUUGAAACCAGUAGUGAAGUAUGUUGUUUAAUUUGAUAACCCGCACAAAACCUUACCACUAUUUGUAUAAAUAUUUAUAUAUAUAUUUACAAGUGUUGCACGGCUGUCUUCAGUUAAUGUCGUGAGGCAAGGUUACUCCUAACAAUCAACGCAAACCCUUACUUUAUUUUUAUAUAAAGUUGUUCACCUUUCAUGGGAGAUGAUAAUAGGGA
rnacentral:rRNA from 1 species